UGUCACUUUCUUCUCGUCCUCUUUGCUUAAAAUCUCAUUCUAAGACAUGGUUCGAUUAGCGAUGCAUGGCCUCCUCCCAAUAGAUGCCUGUGAUGGUUCAACGCAGAAUCGGAAAACCGGGUUCUGCAUUUCUGGUAUCCUUCCUCUGAAUCAAGCUCGGUAAAUGGAGAUAAUGGAAAGAUUCAUCAGUUUUGGUUUCUCAUGAAUGCAAUGAAAGAUUCAUUGGUGGACAAUGGAAAUGCAAUAAAGGAGAUUGAUGAUAUCCAGAAGAUUUGAGCGAGGCCUUCAAUGAAUGCAGAGGAAGGAUAUCAAUGGAGGCCUCGGUUUCAGAAUAAGCUCCAUUGGAGGUAUAGAUCUUGUUAACUUUUACAUCCGCCAUAACCAGAUGAACUGGAUCGUGCGCAUCUUUCUUCCUCUCUAGAGCUAGAGCUCCGCUAGGUAGCUCUGGAGAGUUUUGGAAUCGAGGUGCAAUGAGGACGAAGGGAGGACAAAGUGUGGCUGCCUCAGGUCAAUUCGCUUGCACCAACCUUCGUCGUUUUGUAGGCUGUAUGACACCUGUGGUUCCAACUCGAUGCUUGCCAAAGGCAUCUUUUAAAAAUCCUAAUAGGUUAUGGCAGCCGUGGGAAGGGGAUGACAUAGAAUAUUUCACUUUAGGAGAUCUGUGGAACAGUUAUAGCGAGUGAAGUGCUUAUGGUGCAGGAACGCAAGUUGUAUUAGAUAAUGAAGAAACUGUAUUCCAGUACUAUGUUCCCUAUCUUUCUGCAAUCCAAAUUUACAUCGAUUGGAGCUCUGUGGAGGACUUGCAGUGACGAAGGUGAUACAGGAAACAUUUGGAUGGUAAAAGGAAUGGGCUACUUGUCGGGGAAGAAAAAUGGAAGCUUCUGGCAUGGAAAGGGGAAACUGGGCUUUCUUCAUUUUCAAUAUUUUGAGACAGGAUCUCCCCAUGGAAGGAUUCCGCUAGUAGACAAGGUUUCGCUGGCUAUGGAUGUGGAAGGUUACCCUGACGAGCAUCCAUUUGCCCGCGUUCGUGACCAGAAGGGCAGUUUUUUUGGAGAUCAAGAUGAUUGGUGUUGUUGUAGUACGCCUAUGCCAUCGUUUUAUUUUUACUGAAUCAUCCUUCCUAAUCACCACGAGCGUCGAGAAAGAUGCAGGAAUCGCCGCCUUCCAUGGCUCCUUUGCAGACCACCUUGGCUGUCGAUGGGAAAUUUUUUCCUUCUAGACAUAUUGGCUGUGAGCCUUUCUUUAGGCCGACCUUGUCCGUCAGCAAUCUUCAUUCCCCUGUCUUGACGGACUACCCACCGUUGGCAUCGGUGACAUUUGUUGUAGCGAGAUACGAGCCGGGCCU